rnacentral:rRNA from 1 species
AACGAACGCUGGCGGCGUGGAUAAGACAUGCAAGUCGAACGGGACAGACCGAGUAGCAAUAUUUGGAAUGUUCAGUGGCGAACGGGUGCGUAACACGUGGAUAACAUUCCGGAAAGCGGGGAAUAGCCCAGGGAAACUUGGAUUAAUACCGCAUGUGGCCGCAAGGCUAAAGACGGGGACCGCAAGGCCUGGCACUUUCCGAUUGGUCCGCGGCCUAUCAGCUAGUUGGCGGGGUAAUGGCCCACCAAGGCUACGACGGGUAGCUGGUCUUAGAGGACGAACAGCCACACUGGAACGAGGACACGGUCCAGACACCGACGGGUGGCAGGAGUCGCGGAUCUUGCACAAUGGGGGCAACCCGGAUGGAGCGAGGCCGCGUGGAGGAUAAGGUCUUGGGAUUGUAAACUCCUGUCAUGCGAGAACAAGGUACUCAGGCUAAUAACCUGAUUGUUUGAUGGUACCGCAAGAGGAAGAGACGGUUAACUCUGUGCCAGAAGCCGCCGUAAAAC